GAACAGCAGUACAGGUACAACCUCCCGGGAGGAGGGACACACGCACACACACCAUCGUCCUCACCAGACAAGCAGGUGAGGAGGUGCUACCAACUACAGACCGCAACAACGAAAGGUCUAGCCUUGUCCAGCCUCCAACCAUGAAUGGCAAGGUAGCUAGACACAGAGCCUCAAGGCCGCGUCACAGCCGUUGCCAGGCGCCUCCGAAGAAGACUACAUCUCCAGGGCUGACCGGGCCAACGUACCUUCCACCCAUAUGUGCCUAGGAGACGGCAGGUGGAUGGCAGGACCCAGCCAGAACUAGCGAAGCCAUCGUCUUGGACGUGCCGGCGCCGGCGUACAUUGCGCCCCGGACGCCCACGCUCCAUGCUGCAGCCCUCAUCACAGCAUCGCAUUACCAGCAAACCUCGCCGGAAAGACCGGGGAGGCCACCAUCUCCAGCUGACGCAUAGGGGACUCCAAGUGCGACCCAAGCAGCGCUUUCAAGAAAGGAACGGCGCUGAGACGCCGUCGCUGCCUUGUCCAGGGAACUGGACCAAGGGUUUCCCCCGGUGCCCGAGGAGAGGGUCCAGUCUGGGCCAUGACAGCGCCUCCAUGGAGGUAACGGCACCCUCAGGUGUCGCCGUUGUCAGCGCAGGCCAACGCCGCGCAGGGAUUUCGCCCGGCCCAAGACCAGAACCCCAAAACCGCCGAAGCAGAGCAAACAGGAGAUGGGGAAGCAGAUCGCCAGAGAGGACCACCAGCACCGAGAGGGAAACCACGUAUUGUCACUGUCGAUGUAGGGAAGCACCGGCCAGCGCAGUGCAGCAGCUGCUGGAUGGCUGCCAGACAAGGCCAGCCAUCGCACGGGACGCGUCGAGCAGGGCUAGUGGCGCCGUCGCGGAGACCAGCCACCUGCACCUUGCCGCCGCCGACCAUGGCCGCUGCCGCGCCGGCCCGCAGCCUCCGCCACCCGGAUCCACCGGGGCACAGCCAAGCAGCCGCAGCCGCGCCCCCAAAGGGUCGCGCCGCGCCGCCCGCGUGCUCGCCACGCCAGUCCAGAGGCCCGACCCUCUGGAUCUGGGGCUGCCGUCGCGAAACCCUAGGUUCGGAGAAGCGCAGCUCCGUCAGCCUCGUCGAGCCCCACGCUCGAGGGGGGAGGCCGCCUGGGAGCGAAGUCCCGCCGCCGCCGGAUCCACCAGGGCUUUGCCCGGCGGGGAGCACCGGCGGCGGCAGGGGGAGGGGGAGGAGGAGGGGAGGGAGCGCUUGAGGGCUGCGUCGCCUCCCGAGUCGCCCGUGGGGAGGGCGACGCGGGGGAGGGUCGAUUUCUUCUAAUGAUCAAUCCUGGGAAGUUGUCUCAGUGAAGAGGUGCUUAGGUUGCAAGAAAGCUUAAGUAAGUACCAUAGAAGUGUUGCUGCCAGCACUCCUCAGGUUGAUCUUACUCAUCUUUUGGCAUCUCGUGAUCAAGAACUUCGUGCACUGUCUGCUGAGAUGAAUCAAGUGCAUUCGGAGCUUCGUGUUGCUCGUGGUUUGAUUGCUGAGAAGGACUCAGAGAUCCAGCUCAUCCGUGGGAAAAACAAUCAAUACGUCGAAGAAAACGAGAGACUAAGAGCUAUCCUUGGUGAA